rnacentral:rRNA from 1 species
UACGAAGGGGGCUAGCGUUGUUCGGAAUUACUGGGCGUAAAGCGCACGUAGGCGGACUACUAAGUCAGGGGUGAAAUCCCGGGGCUCAACCCCGGAACUGCCUUUGAUACUGAUAGUCUCGAGUCCGGAAGAGGUGAGUGGAAUUCCGAGUGUAGAGGUGAAAUUCGUAGAUAUUCGGAGGAGCACCAGUGGCGAAGGCGGCUCACUGGUCCGGUACUGACGCUGAGGUGCGAAAGCGUGGGGAGCAAACAGG